UGAAUGGCACAUUGUCACACGUGGGCCCUCGGAAACCCAAGGAGGGACCAGGGCUCACGCUUGGAUUUUCUUAGGUUUAUCCUCCAAUCAUGGCUUCCCAGGUGGCACGAGUGGAAAGAAUCUGCCUGUUAAUGCAGGAGACAUAAGAGAUGUGGGUUUGAUCCCUGGGUCAGGAAGAUCCCCUGGAGGAGGGCAUGGCAACCCACUCCAGUUUUGCCUGGAGAAUCCUAUGGACAGAGGAGCCUGGCAGACUAUAGUCCACAGAGUCGCAAAGAGUUGGACACAACUGAAGCGACUGAGCAUGCAGGCGAAUUUGCAGAUAUGGAAUCUGCCAGUAAUGAGAACGGACGGCCUGUACUCGGGGGAAAAAAUGUUUUUUAUCAUCAUGAAUUCCAGCUGAGAAAUCCCUGGCCAGGGGCUGGACGUCCUGGAGCCAUGAGAGAGGGCACUUGGGGAAAAGAUGGAGAUACUCGAGGAAACAAUACACAGUAUUUAUCUAAGUCUGCGAGGAAAUUGCAACCUGUGGGGUUGAGGCGAACGAUGGACGCGCUGUCUCCUGCUUCAUGUGAGUAGCUCUAGUUUAUACACCUUUAGAUUGCCUUUGGGAACCUUGGAUCGGAGGCCAGGCAGCUGGAUUUCAUUGAUACCUCCAUCGCUCUUCCUCCCAGCGGCCACAGCCUGGCCCAGCAACACGUUGCACACAACGCUUUGACUUUCAGACAAUAAAGGAGGGUCUCUCACAAGGAAGCUGUCUCAGAUACAGUCUGUGUGCUCUACAGUGAUUUCAGCGUUGAUUGGAGAAGAAACGUUCCUCUUUUUAUAUUUUUAGGCUGACAACACGACUGCCAACAGAGCCUUUACAAAACAGGACAUAGCCUGAAACAAUAAUAUUAGGUGUUUCUCUUACAAUGCACUUACGUAGGAAGGAUCUGGAUGUGUAAGGAAGUAUAAUUAGAACAUAAUUUUAAAAACUCAGCAGAACCCAAUAAAUCUCAGAAAUGGCUAGCAUAUGGGGGUGGGGUGGGAGG
rnacentral:lncRNA from 1 species